GCGAAUUCCAAGCUUCGCGGCCUAUCAGCUUGUUGGCGAGGUAACGGCUCACCAAGGCGACGACGGGUAGCUGGUCUGAGAGGAUGGCCAGCCACAUUGGGACUGAGAGACGGCCCAGACUCCUACGGGAGGCAGCAGUGGGGAAUCUUGCGCAAUGGCCGAAAGGCUGACGCAGCGACGCCGCGUGUGGGAGGACGCUCUUCGGGGUGUAAACCACUGUUGCCCGGGACGAACAUCCACUUUCGAGUGGACUGACGGUACCGGGUGAGGAAGCACCGGCUAACUCCGUGCCAGCAGCCGCGGUAAUACGGAGGGUGCGAGCGUUGUCCGGAAUCAUUGGGCGUAAAGGGCGCGUAGGUGGCCCGGUCAGUUCGUGGUGAAAGCGCGGGGCUCAACCCCGCGUCGGCCAUGGAUACUGCUGGGCUUGAGCACUGUAGAGGCAGGCGGAAUUCCGGGUGUAGCGGUGGAAUGCGUAGAGAUCCGGAAGAACACCGGUGGCGAAGGCGGCCUGCUGGGCAGUAGCUGACACUGAGGCGCGACAGCGUGGGGAGCAAACAGGAUUAGAUACCCUGGUAGUCCAUGCCGUAAACGUUGGGCACUAGGUGUGGGGGACAUUCCACGUUUUCCGCGCCGUANCUAACGCAUUAAGUGCCCCGCCUGGG
rnacentral:rRNA from 1 species